rnacentral:lncRNA from 1 species
CUCCUCCCUGUUUCUCCCCUGCCCACCCCCAACUCCUGGAAGUUCGACUCCCUGCCUCCUCCUGGGCCUCCCCUAUAUUGCAUCUCCCCAGUUACUGUCUUUAUCUCUCAUCUCUUCUUUCCAAACAGCCUCUGUCUAGCACCUUGGAGCUUGCAUGGUAAUUCACGAGUGGGUGGUUCACAGGUGGGUGGAUGCCGAGCUUGGCUUCAUCAGAUGGCAACCAAAGGGCAGAGGCCCGGGGGGCAAGGGAGCUCCAGGAUCUGUCUCCCGUUGGAGAAGCCCAGAUUCACCUUCCCAGAAAGCUGCUUUGGCCUCACCACCAUGGCCCCUACAGCCCCUACGCCCCUGACCCUCAAUAACCUUCAGUGGCACCCUUCUUGCAGCUGUAAUUCCCCUCUUGGGAUGCUACAAAAGGGAUUCCAGGGAUUUUUUUCCCCGUAACUCAAAAGGGAUGGAGUAAACAAUAUAUUUGCCCGGGACAAGGCAGCUAAGGGAAGGCCUCAGGCUUCCUUUGCCUUUGCCUGGAAGUAUACCAACCCUUAGCCCAGAGGGCCAGCAGAGAACCAAUGCUCAGAGCCUGGGGACCCAGGGAAAGGUUUCCAGGCUGGACAUCCCAGGAGCCCUCUUUCCCUUCCCCAUAGCAAGAUACUAAGAGCAGAGGCUGGCCUGGCAGGCCAUGUCGAUGCCCUGAGCUGACAUGGCCUUGGCAGCUUCUUGACAGUUGUGUCUUUUUGUUUCCAGCAGUGACACUCACUGACCCACACCUUUGGCCAGCGUCCCUUGUGACUGCCCCCUCCCGCUUGAGCAGAAUGGCUCCUAUUACGCAAUGAGUGCCAGGAACCCGGCCAGUCCAUCCAAAGACAGGGCAGAGCCCUGGGCUACUGACCCUCUUGGGCCAGCCGAAACCUCCCUAUGGCUUUGCCUCUCAUCCUAGCAUUGACACUUGUGCCCUUAAUUAAAGUGCUUCUUUUUUAAAUCAACAUUUCUACUCUUUUUGCAGAGUAAGAGAAAAAAAAGUUAGGGGAGAAGAAAGAAGGAAGGAUUAAUGCGGUUAAUUUUUUUUUUCAUGUAAAAGUUUGUUCCAUGAUUUAAAUCUCAUGGCCACAAACAGCUCAGAAGUCAGCAUAGAGAAGCAAGCUGACAGAUUAUAAAGUCAUUUGUAAAAUCCUCUUUCUGAAUAUAAACUGAAAUGUGUAAUUAAUUCCACAUACUGCAUGUGGCACAUGGCCUUCAUCCUGCAUAAGAACAAAUACAUGAAUGAAUAAAUGGAGCAGGCCUUGACACACGCCAGGCCCUGCGCUAAAUGCUUUCCACAUAUUACCUUAAUUACUCCUCACCGUGGCCUUGUGAGGAAAAUGAUCAUAGCCCGUUUUACAGAUGGGGACAGAGAUUUGUCCAAGGCCACACAACUAGUGGCAGAUGUAGGUCUGUGUGUGACAUU